GGGUUUAAAGGGUGCGUAGGUGGGCAAGUAAGUCAGUGGUGAAAUCUCUGGGCUUAACCCGGAAACUGCCAUUGAUACUAUUUGUCUUGAAUUCUCUGGAGGUAAGCGGAAUAUGUCAUGUAGCGGUGAAAUGCUUAGAUAUGACAUAGAACACCCAUUGCGAAGGCAGCUCACUACGGAGACAUUGACACUGAGGCACGAAAGCGUGGGGAUCAAACAGGAUUAGAUACCCUGGUAGUCCACGCCCUAAACGAUGAUUACUCGACAUUAGCGAUAUUACUGUUAGUGUCUAAGCGAAAGCAUUAAGUAAUCCACCUGGGAAGUACGACCGCAAGGUUGAAACUCAAAGGAAUUGGCGGGGGUCCGCACAAGUGGUGGAGCAUGUGGUUUAAUUCGAUGAUACGCGAGGAACCUUACCUGGGCUAGAAUGCAUUUUGACCGCAAGUGAAAGCUUGUUUUGUAGCAAUACACAAUUUGUAAGGUGCCGCAUGGCUGUCGUCAGCUCGUGCCGUGAGGUGUUGGGUUAAGUCCCGCAACGAGCGCAACCCCUAUCUUUAGUUGCCAUCAGGUAAUGCUGGGAACUCUAAAGAAACUGCCGUCGUAAGACGUGAGGAAGGAGGGGAUGAUGUCAAGUCAUCAUGGCCUUUAUGCCCAGGGCUACACACGUGCUACAAUGGGGAGGACAAAGGGCUGCCACUUAGCGAUAAGGAGCUAAUCCCAAAAACCUUCUCUCAGUUCAGAUUGGAGUCUGCAACUCGACUCCAUGAAGCUGGAAUCACUAGUAAUCGUA
rnacentral:rRNA from 1 species